rnacentral:misc_RNA from 1 species
ACAAAAAGGUAACUCCCUUCGCAGCUACAAACAAAAUUUAUUUUAGAACAUUUCCAGAAUAAUGCUCAAAGGAAUAACCCAUUAAUAUAUAAAUGAAGAAAAGUUAAGUCCAAAAUAUUAAGACUCCACCGAAUAACACAAAAGAAACUAUUCAAUCUUCCACCGUCAAAGUUGCGAAUCUUUUUUACUAGGAAAAUGCUUAUUAUAAUAUAAUUCAAUUCAAUGAGGUUCAAUAAUUAUUUAAUUGGAGUGUUUGACUCGUUUAGAGAACACCUGCUCUUGGUACUGCAGACUA